CUACGGGAGGCUGCAGUGGGGAAUAUUGCACAAUGGGCGCAAGCCUGAUGCAGCCAUGCCGCGUGUAUGAAGAAGGCCUUCGGGUUGUAAAGUACUUUCAGCGGGGAGGAAGGGAGUAAAGUUAAUACCUUUGCUCAUUGACGUUACCCGCAGAAGAAGCACCGGCUAACUCCGUGCCAGCAGCCGCGGUAAUACGGAGGGUGCAAGCGUUAAUCGGAAUUACUGGGCGUAAAGCGCACGCAGGCGGUUUGUUAAGUCAGAUGUGAAAUCCCCGGGCUCAACCUGGGAACUGCAUCUGAGACUGGCAAGCUUGAGGCUCGUAGAGGGGGGUAGAAUUCCAGGUGUAGCGGUGAAAUGCGUAGAGAUCUGGAGGAAUACCGGUGGCGAAGGCGGCCCCCUGGACGAAGACUGACGCUCAGGUGCGAAAGCGUGGGGAGCAAACAGGAUUAGAUACCCGGGUAGUC
rnacentral:rRNA from 1 species